CUCAGCAGCACCAAUUACAAUCUCCAUCUCAAACCCAGUUACAGCCUCACUCUUACCAACAUUUACGUCCUCCAUCACGACCGCAGCAACAGUUGCAACCUGAACCCGAACAGCAAUCAACGCCUCAGCCUCAGCAGCAUUUGCAGCAUCAAUCUAAACCACAAUUGCAACCUCAGUUCCAGCCACAGUUGCGACCUGAACCCCAGCAGCAAUCAGUGCCUCAGCCUCAGCAGCAUUUGCAGCAUCAGUCCCAACCGCAAUUACAACCUCAGUUCCAGCCACAGUUGCAGUCACAACAUCCUCAACACUCAUCUGUCUACCCACCUCCACCCUGGGCAGCUACACCUGGAUAUCUCAACAACCAAAUUCACACAUCCACUACAAAUAAC
rnacentral:lncRNA from 1 species